GUGGGGGCGAGGCUGGC
rnacentral:miRNA from 1 species